rnacentral:rRNA from 1 species
GACGGACGGUGCAAGCGUUGCUCGGAAUCACUGGGCGUAAAGGGUGCGUAGGCGGCCGUGUAAGUCUGGCGUGAAAGCCCCGGGCUCAGCCCGGGAAGUGCGCUAGAAACUGCGCGGCUCGAGUGCCGGAGGGGAGAGUGGAAUUCCUGGUGUAGCGGUGAAAUGCGUAGAUAUCUGGAGGAACACCGGUGGCGAAGGCGGCAUCCUGGACCGAGAUUGACGCUGAGGCGCGAAAGCCAGGGGAGCAAACGGG